AUUUUGUACUGUCAGGGCUCUGUAAGACCAGCACCAUUUUAGGUAUUGCCCAAAUCUGCCAUAUAAGUGCUGCUUGUUGUCGACAGCGGGAUGUCACAAUGCCACAAGUACCUUGGAAAUAAUCAAAUCCAAACCAAGAAAGAACGCUUAGGUCGAGGACGUCGACUUUUAGUUACCCUUUACUCCGCUGUUUCCAAGAGUUCGUUAUCUGUUCAUCGGCCAAGCUUAAAAGUAGGCCCAUCGGACACAUGAUAAUCAGCGCCGUUCUAAUUUUUUCGAAAUAGUGAGGCAAAUGCGAAAUUCAAGCGUUGUUUUGUAAUCUUUCUGAAAACCAAUCCGAAUUGAUAGUUGAGACGUGACUUAAUCUGACCCGCUUAUGGAAUUCCUUAUCAUGAAAAGCUAACUCGGCACGGAGUCAGCUCAUGGAGUUAAAGAAGGUUUGUGAGAGGCAUCGUUAUAUUCAAUUUCUGUUCCACGUUGUUCCAUCGGUUCCCAGCUGGAUGUUAAAAAAUAAUACUGAAGAUAUUCCCAAUUUUUUUUAAGUGCAAACAUAAUUGCAGUUAUGCAGCACAUCGAUCAAAAGUUUCCGCCAACUUUUCGGUAGAUUGUAGUAAAUGUUGCAGAAACUACUUGGGACUCGCUUGGGACUCAUCCCCCGGGGAGCACAUCCAUAUCCAUAACCACAUCCUUAACUGUGGCCAAUGGCAAAUAAAAAAGCAAUUCGAAA